rnacentral:rRNA from 1 species
UACGUAGGGGGCAAGCGUUGUCCGGAUUUAUUGGGCGUAAAGAGCGUGUAGGCGGUCAGGUAGGUCCGUUGUGAAAACUCGAGGCUCAACCUCGAGACGCCGAUGGAAACCAUCUGACUAGAGUCCGGAAGAGGAGAGUGGAAUUCCUGGUGUAGCGGUGAAAUGCGCAGAUAUCAGGAAGAACACCCGUGGCUAAGGCGGCUCUCUAGUACGGUACUGACGCUGAGAAGCGAAAGCGUGGGGAGCGAACAGG